GACGAACGCUGGCGGCGUGCUUAACACAUGCAAGUCGAACGGAAAGGCCCUGCUUUUGUGGGGUGCUCGAGUGGCGAACGGGUGAGUAACACGUGAGUAACCUGCCCUUGACUUUGGGAUAACUUCAGGAAACUGGGGCUAAUACCGGAUGGGAGCUCCUGCUGCAUGGUGGGGGUUGGAAAGUUUCGGCGGUUGGGGAUGGACUCGCGGCUUAUCAGCUUGUUGGUGGGGUAGUGGCUUACCAAGGCUUUGACGGGUAGCCGGCCUGAGAGGGUGACCGGCCACAUUGGGACUGAGAUACGGCCCAGACUCCUACGGGAGGCAGCAGUGGGGAAUAUUGCACAAUGGGCGGAAGCCUGAUGCAGCAACGCCGCGUGCGGGAUGACGGCCUUCGGGUUGUAAACCGCUUUCGCCUGUGACGAAGCGUGAGUGACGGUAAUGGGUAAAGAAGCACCGGCUAACUACGUGCCAGCAGCCGCGGUGAUACGUAGGGUGCGAGCGUUGUCCGGAUUUAUUGGGCGUAAAGGGCUCGUAGGUGGUUGAUCGCGUCUGCCGUGUAAUCUUGGGGCUUAACCCUGAGCGUGCGGUGGGUACGGGCUGGCUUGAGUGCGGUAGGGGAGGCUGGAACUCCUGGUGUAGCGGUGGAAUGCGCAGAUAUCAGGAGGAACACCGGUGGCGAAGGCGGGUCUCUGGGCCGUUACUGACGCUGAGGAGCGAAAGCGUGGGGAGCGAACAGGAUUAGAUACCCUGGUAGUCCACGCUGUAAACGUUGGGCACUAGGUGUGGGGGGUCUUUCCGGGUCUUCCGCGCCGUAGCUAACGCAUUAAGUGCCCCGCCUGGGGAGUACGGCCGCAAGGCUAAAACUCAAAGGAAUUGACGGGGGCCCGCACAAGCGGCGGAGCAUGCGGAUUAAUUCGAUGCAACGCGAAGAACCUUACCAAGGCUUGACAUGUGCCGGUUGUCCUUCGGAGACGGGGGGUCCUCCCUAUUUGUGGGGGUCGGUUCACAGGUGGUGCAUGGUUGUCGUCAGCUCGUGUCGUGAGAUGUUGGGUUAAGUCCCGCAACGAGCGCAACCCUUGUCCCGUGUUGCCAGCACGUUGUGGUGGGGACUCGCGGGAGACUGCCGGGGUUAACUCGGAGGAGGGUGGGGAUGACGUCAAAUCAUCAUGCCCCUCAUGUCUUGGGCUUCACGCAUGCUACAAUGGCCGGUACAGUGGGUUGCGAUGUCGUGAGGCGGAGCGAAUCCCUUAAAGCCGGUCUCAGUUCGGAUCGGUGUCUGCAACUCGACACCGUGAAGCUGGAGUCGCUAGUAAUCGCAGAUCAGCAGCGCUGCGGUGAAUACGUUCUCGGGCCU
rnacentral:rRNA from 1 species